UACGAAGGGGGCUAGCGUUGCUCGGAAUCACUGGGCGUAAAGGGUGCGUAGGCGGGGCUUUAAGUCAGGGGUGAAAUCCUGGAGCUCAACUCCAGAACUGCCUUUGAUACUGAGGAUCUUGAGUUCGGGGGAGGUGAGUGGAACUGCGAGUGUAGAGGUGAAAUUCGUAGAUAUUCGCAAGAACACCAGUGGCGAAGGCGGCUCACUGGCCCGAUACUGACGCUGAGGCACGAAAGCGUGGGGAGCAAACAGG
rnacentral:rRNA from 1 species